UGGUCUACCAAUUGUCUUCUUCAUACAUCAUGUAUUUUCUUGUAUCUUCUUACUCUAAGACCUUGGUUAAUGUUCUCCACAUUGCCAUCUUUUCUCAUCUCCCAUCUCCUUACACAUAACCUACCUAUUUUUCCAGUUGGCAUGCAGUCUGUGGAGACAGAGCUAAAUAUGUACCACCAAAAAACCAAAAUCAAGUGAUAUUUUAAAAAGAGAACAUCAGAUUUUCUAGAGAAAAAAAUGGUGACUCCACAAAAUAUGAAGCUACCAAGACCUGUAGGACAUUCCUUCAUCUUCUCCUGGAUGGGGUGACUCACCCAUGGAUAUAUGCCGCUAAUCAUGAGCUCAGAAUAAGCUUCUAUAGCUUGAUGAAAUCAAUGGACAUCUUCUGGAUUCCUGGCCUUAGAAUCCUGCCAUUGUGUUGACCAAUUAAAUUGUGAACCCCUUGAGGGCAGAAACCAUAAGAUUUCUUGAUAUCCUUCCCCUUCCUCCAUUUAACCAACAUUUCACAUACUCACCAAUGGCCAAGACGUCUACCAAGCAGAGGAGACACUCCCACAGUGCUGCACUAUGUCCUGUUGUGGCCCACUGGCCAGGCCUAUUUCAGUGGGGGGAAUAUCCAGAGAGAAAUCCGUACGUGGUAGAUCUCUGCCUUCAAAUCCAAAGACAUUCCCCCCAAACUGCCACCAAUCCUGUCCUUUUCUCCAACUCAGAACUAGAAGUUAAGAGUUGAAAGAAACCUUAGAUACCACCCAGUCCAACCUUCUCAUUUCAUAAAUGUGGAAACUGAGGCCACAGAAGAGAAGUGACCUAAAACCAAGGUCAUGCAUCUCAUUAAAGGAGUAUCUGACUCUAGAACCAGAUCACAUGAUCCCUAGUUCAACAUGCAUAAUACUCAAUCAUACAUAUUUUUUUGGCAUCAAGUAUCUAACACUUCAGUAGAAGAACCUGAAACAUGGAGAUGCCACAGGGGGUUGGUGUGCAGGUGGCUGAGGUCUCUUACUGCUUCUUCAUCUGCCCCAGGACAUUCUCCAUCUUGAAGGCAACUCCUUGGAGGAAAAGACCAUGAAUGAACUGCUGCGGCUAUGAAAUGAUACCAUGAUGAGAACAGAAAUGAUUCCAGAUUCUCCGCUUGUUUUGACAAGUAAAAUAAGGGAGAUAUGAAAACAGAAGACCAAGCACAGCAUGAUUCGAAGGACCUGGAAUUAAAGCUCACUGCUCCCGUUUCCUGACAGCCCCACCACCGCAGAUCUCAAAUCUGUAGUUCACAUGAAGUUUUUACCAAUGCUAUUUCUAAGUGAGCACAGAAUGUUCAGUCCAAGCCCGUGAUAACAAUUCUCCCAGUAGCCUGGGGUUAUUGUAAUUAAAGUGCAUAACUU